rnacentral:lncRNA from 1 species
CAAUAACAGGCUCUCAUUUUUGAGGAAGUAUCAAACAAAUUAAAAGGGGUGGACAUAGUCAAGAUGGCGACUUAGAAGUGGCAAAAGUCAAUUCCUCUGUGAAAACUCUUCUACACCAAUCAAAAACAAAGCACUUCCAGGGGGACAGAAAACCAAAUCCAACAAGAAGACAGAACUGAGGGAUCUUACUCCUCAAUUCAACUUAAAAGGCUUCUCAGGAGUCUUAUGGUUGAAUGACAAAUUUUCUAUUCUGCUCUGGUCUUUUCAUCAAGAAUGUUUGAAAAUACUCCAUUUUAUUAAAUGUCUAUUUUCCCCCUUGAAAGAUCUACUCAGUUUUUCUAGUCUGGCACUAGCUUCAGUCCACCAGAACACAGAGAAUGGAUGAAGCUCAGAAACUCAAGGUCGAUGGUGAACAAGAAGCCAAUGGAGCAUUUUUAUACGAAGAAAUCUUACUAUAUUAUAAGAAAAAAUAUAUACAUGCAUUUAUGCAUACAUACCUAAAUAUGCAUCCAUAUGCAAAUAUAUAUUAAUAAUAUUACAAUACAUUUCACUUGGGUUUGUGCUCAAAGAAUUUUAUAUUUUCUGGUGAGGCAAAUAUUUAUUGAAUAUUUUCUAUCAUCAAAAUAUUUAUUCAUUAAAAAUUAAGAAACUAAAACAACUCUAAUUAUUUUAGUCACUGUAAAAUGGGAAGCUUUUGAAAACUUUAAGAACUCUAACCAACAGAGGACAAAUGCUGAGACUUGUUUCCCACCACCUAACACACAUAUGAUGGACUCAGGGUACAAAUAAAGCUACAGUGAAUACUUUUUGGACA